rnacentral:rRNA from 1 species
AUACGGAGGAUCCGAGCGUUAUCCGGAUUUAUUGGGUUUAAAGGGUGCGUAGGUGGUUUGAUAAGUCAGCGGUGAAAGUUUGCAGCUUAACUGUAAAAAUGCCGUUGAAACUGUCGGACUUGAGUGUAAAUGAGGUAGGCGGAAUGCGUGGUGAUGCGGAGAAAUGCAUAGAUAUCACGCAGAACUCCGAUUGCGAAGGCAGCUUACUAAGCUACAACUGACACUGAAGCACGAAAGCGUGGGGAUCAAACAGGAUUAGAUACCCUGGUAGUCCACGCAGUAAACGAUGAUUACUAGCUGUUUGCGAUACACAGUAAGCGGCACAGCGAAAGCGUUAAGUAAUCCACCUGGGGAGUACGCCGGCAACGGUGAAACUCAAAUGAAUUGACGGGG